AUUGAACGCUAGCGGCAUGCUUUACACAUGCAAGUCGAACGAGUGGCGGACGGGUGAGUAAUAUAUCGGAACGUGCCCAGUAGCGGGGGUUAACUACUCGAAAGAGUGGCUAAUACCGCAUACUUUUGGAGCGGCCGAUAUCGGAUUAGCUUGUUGGUGGGGUAAAGGCUCACCAGGGCAACGAUCCGUAGCUGGUUUGAGAGGACGACCAGCCACACUGGGACUGAGGCACGGCCCAGACGCCUACGGUAGGCAGCAGGGGGGAAGUUUGGACAAUGGGGGAAACCCUGAUGCAGCCAUCCCGCGUGUAUGAGAAGGCCUGCGGGUUGUAGAGUACUUUUGGCAGAGAAGCGGUAUCUGCAGAAUAAGCACUGGCUAACUACGUGCCAGCAGCCGCGGUAAUAC
rnacentral:rRNA from 1 species